UAAUGUAAUGACUACAAUGUUAAUGCAUCAAAUCCCAUUAGAAAUAUGCAUUUAAGCAUGCUUGGGAUAGAGUAGUACUGGGAUGGGUGACCUCUAGGGAGGUCCUAGUGUUUUACAUGCC
rfam:Picea glauca, whole genome shotgun sequence.